rnacentral:rRNA from 1 species
AUUGCCUGCCCAGUGACUAAAGUUAAACGGCCGCGGUAUCCUGACCGUGCAAAGGUAGCAUAAUCACUUGUUCCUUAAUUAGGGACUUGCAUGAAUGGCUAAACGAGGGUUCAACUGUCUCUUAUUUCUGAUCAGUGAAAUUGACCUUCCAGUGAAGAGGCUGGAAUUAUAUAAUAAGACGAGAAGACCCUAUGGAGCUUAAAUUUUCAUCUUAUUUAUAAUAUUAUACCCCUAAUGGAACAAAAACAAAUACUAUAAGCUUAAAAUUUUGGUUGGGGUGACCUCGGAGAACAAAAAAUCCUCCGAACGAUGAUAACAUAGACAAACAAGUCAAAGUAACCUAAAUUCUCAAUUGACCCAAAGUAAUUUGAUCAACGGACCAAGUUACCCUAGGGAUAACAGCGCAAUCCUAUUUAAGAGUCCAUAUCGACAAUAGGGUUUACGACCUCGAUGUUGGAUCAGGACAUCCCAAUGGUGCAGAAGCUAUUAAUGGUUCGUUUG